AUACGGAGGAUGCAAGCGUUACUCGGAAUCACUGGGCGUAAAGGAUGCGUAGGCGGAUAAUCAAGUCAAAAGUGAAAUCCUACAGCUUAACUGUAGAACUGCUUUCGAAACUGGUUAUCUAGAAUAUGGAAGAGGCAGAUGGAAUUAGUGGUGUAGGGGUAAAAUCCGUAGAGAUCACUAGGAAUACCGAUUGCGAAGGCGAUCUGCUGGGACAUUAUUGACGCUGAGGCAUGAAAGCGUGGGGAGCAGACAGGAUUAGAAACCCCUGUAGUCC
rnacentral:rRNA from 1 species